AUUGAACGCUGGCGGCAUGCCUUACACAUGCAAGUCGAACGGCAGCACGGGGGCAACCCUGGUGGCGAGUGGCGGACGGGUGAGUAAUGCAUCGGAACGUGCCCUGAAGUGGGGGAUAACGCAGCGAAAGCUACGCUAAUACCGCAUAUUCUGUGAGCAGGAAAGCAGGGGAUCGCAAGACCUUGCGCUUUGGGAGCGGCCGAUGUCGGAUUAGCUAGUUGGUGGGGUAAAGGCCUACCAAGGCGACGAUCCGUAGCGGGUCUGAGAGGAUGAUCCGCCACACUGGGACUGAGACACGGCCCAGACUCCUACGGGAGGCAGCAGUGGGGAAUUUUGGACAAUGGGCGAAAGCCUGAUCCAGCCAUGCCGCGUGAGUGAAGAAGGCCUCGG
rnacentral:rRNA from 1 species